UUUUUGCUUUAUCGGAGGACGAAUUGUUAUCAUCUAAUUGUUUCGUUUCAGAUGUGUGCUGCUACCGCUAGCUGUUCUCCAAAUCUCUUCAAAUUGCGACACUGUGUGCACAGGCGUUCAAGGUUCAAUUGAUCCUCGAGCACAAAGCCUUCAUACAACACCGCGGUUGAGGCGCGCCAAAUCUGAUGACAUCUUUCCUGAACCAAGCAGGCUGAACACGCGCACCACCACGGGCUCCAGCGCGGUGUGAAGAGGAAAGAAGAAAAGACAGAAUUGGAAGCAGCCGCGCCAGGCUUCCAACCACCGUGUAUGUGUAUGUAAGUAUGUGAGAACACAUGUGUGAAUCCUCUUGUGGGAAUUGCAAAAAGAAGAGAAUAAAGAGUGUGAAGCAGCUAGACUGCCGCAACCAAA